CCGCCGACUUCCGGCCGUGCAGUGGUGGGCUGAGCCAAAAUGGCUGAGGAGAAAGUCGCUACGGUUCCUGACAAUACACUCCAUCUGCUAUAGAAAGCACCCACGCUGUGCUGAUCUUGGUGCCUCCAAAUACAGGUCCCUGUGGAACCAUGAAAAUAGUCAGCAACUUCAGAAUCUGCCACACCUGGGAAGCCCUCCAAGAAAGUAUGGGGAAAAGAAAGCCAGAUCAGAUUGUUACUGUGUCUGUGUAGAAAGAAGUAGACAUAGGAGACUCCAUUUUGUUCUGUACUAAGAGAAAUUCUUCUGCCUUGAGAUGCUGUUAAUCUAUAACCUUACCCCCAACCCCGUGCUCUCUGAAACAUGGGCUGUGUCAACUCAGGGUUAAAUGGAUUAAGGGCUGUGCAAGAUGUGCUUUGUUAAACAGAUGCUUGAAGGCAGCAUGCUCGUUAAGAGUCAUCACCACUCCCUAAUCUCAGGUACCCAGGGACACAAACACUGCGGAAGGCCGCAGGGACCUCUGCCUAGAAAAGCCAGAUAUUGUCCAAGGUUUUUCCCCAUGUGAUAGUCUGAAAUAUGGCCUCGUGGGAAGGGAAAGACCUGACCCUGACCGUCCCCCAGCCCGACACCCGUAAAGGGUCUGUGUUGAGGAGGAUUAGUACAAGAGGAAGGAACGCCUCUUUGC